UGGGGAAUAUUGCACAAUGGGGGAAACCCUGAUGCAGCGACGCCGCGUGAAGGAAGAAGGUCUUCGGAUCGUAAACUUUUGUCUUCAGGGACGAUAAUGACGGUACCUGAGGAGGAAGCCACGGCUAACUACGUGCCAGCAGCCGCGGUAAUACGUAGGUGGCAAGCGUUGUCCGGAUUUACUGGGUGUAAAGGGCGCGUAGGCGGGUUUUUAAGUCGGGUGUGAAAUCCUUCGGCUCAACCGAAGAACUGCACUUGAAACUGGAAAUCUUGAGUGUCGGAGAGGGAAGCGGAAUUCCUAGUGUAGCGGUGAAAUGCGUAGAUAUUAGGAGGAACACCAGUGGCGAAGGCGGCUUUCUGGACGAUAACUGACGCUGAGGCGCGAAAGCGUGGGGAGCAAACAGG
rnacentral:rRNA from 1 species